rnacentral:rRNA from 1 species
GACGUAGGGCGCGAGCGUUGUCCGGAUUUAUUGGGCGUAAAGAGCGUGUAGGCGGCCAGGUAGGUCCGUUGUGAAAACUGGAGGCUUAACCUCCAGCGGUCGAUGGAAACCAUCUGGCUAGAGUCCGGAAGAGGAGAGUGGAAUUCCUGGUGUAGCGGUGAAAUGCGCAGAUAUCAGGAAGAACACCCGUGGCGAAGGCGGCUCUCUGGGACGGUACUGACGCUGAGACGCGAAAGCGUGGGGAGCGAACAGG